rnacentral:rRNA from 1 species
UACGGGGGGGGCAAGCGUUGUUCGGAAUUACUGGGCGUAAAGGGCUCGUAGGUGGCCAACUAAGUCGGACGUGAAAUCCCUCGGCUUAACCGGGGAACUGCGUCCGAUACUGGCUGGCUUGAGUUUGGGAGAGGGAUGCGGAAUUCCAGGUGUAGCGGUGAAAUGCGUAGAUAUCUGGAGGAACACCGGUGGCGAAGGCGGCAUCCUGGACCGGUAUUGACGCUGAGGCGCGAAAGCUAGGGGAGCAAACGGG